GACGAACGCUGGCGGCGUGCCUAAUACAUGCAAGUCGAGCGAAGUUUUUCUGGUGCUUGCACUAGAAAAACUUAGCGGCGAACGGGUGAGUAACACGUAAAGAACCUGCCUCAUAGACUGGGACAACUAUUGGAAACGAUAGCUAAUACCGGAUAACAGUAUUUCUCGCAUGAGAGAUAUUUAAAAGUUGGUUAUGCUAACACUAUGAGAUGGCUUUGCGGUGCAUUAGCUAGUUGGUGGGGUAAAGGCCCACCAAGGCGACGAUGCAUAGCCGACCUGAGAGGGUGAUCGGCCACACUGGGACUGAGACACGGCCCAGACUCCUACGGGAGGCAGCAGUAGGGAAUCUUCCGCAAAGGGCGAAAGCCUGACGGAGCAACGCCGCGUGAGUGAAGAAGGAGUUCGGUUCGUAAAGCUCUGUUGUUAGGGAAGAAUGGAUAUGUAGUAACUAUACAUGUAAGAGACGGUACCUAACCAGAAAGCCACGGCUAACUACGUG
rnacentral:rRNA from 1 species